AGGACCAACCCGAAGAACAAAAUUGCAAAAGCCGAGAAACAGUCCCAGCGGCAAAGUAAUCAAGCAUGAGAAGUUGCAAAAUGUGAUGUUGUAUCCCGUCAGAGGCAGGGGCUGCCAUUGAGGUUGACCUUCUCCACAAGUGUUCACCGGAUGGUCCAUGACGACGAUGGUCACAGGGUAGAAAGGAUGGAAUUCUAUGAAUUUCUUGGUGCUCAGUUUCAACUCAGCAGGCAAGUCAUCUUCUCUCAGACGCUCCCAUCCCUCCGCUCCGUGGCGUUGCCAUAGUCUCGAGAGCGCUCGUGGCUCAUUCUGCGCCUUCAAGGGCUGAUAAGCAACCUGCCGGACCUCUCUGCUCCCAGAGUCAAAUAGGCCACUCGCACCUCUUUGCCUGUUGACCCAGUGGACUCUUGGCUGUGUCCCCAGCGUGCUCUCUUGCAAAUGUGUGCACAUGCCUCAUUCUGGAAGAUAUGAUUGCGAUGUGGGACCCUGUGUCUCUGUGCAGCUUCAUGCAUCUCCCAGCCAAGAAUGGGCAUGAGAAGCCGGGAAGACCCGAGUCUGAAUCCUGACUAUAUGAAUUUCUAGCUGCGUGACCUGGAUGGAGCUACUUAAUUUCUCUGAACGGCAGAUUCCUUUAUCUGGACAGCGGUGCUAAAACCCUUUCUUCCAGCGCGGGGGACUGUUAAAGAAAAUGCCCAAACGGUGUCUGGGUCCUAGUACACGUCAAAAACUUUUGUCUGAUCCAAGAAGUGGACUUAUAACCUUUCUCUCCUAACGUUUCAUGAAGUCAUCACGUGCUGGAUGUGCAGUCCUCAGGUAUGAUUUUCUCCCCAUUUUAGGGGGGCUUUUCCCCAACGCACUGUAUUUUCUACAUAAUUUUUGGAAGCGUUCGAAUAUAUGGUCAGUGUUAGUAAUCUCUUUCUCUCUCCCCUUUCUCUUAUGGCUGAUGACCUGGCCCGAGUCUUCACUUGGGAGUAAGGACCAGUGCUAAAGUUCUAAGCUACAGAAGUCUGCAAUCUGCGGUCGCCAGGCACGACCUAGCGCCGUUCUACUGUUGGCGUGACCCCCGUAAGACCAGAGGAUGCUGCGCUCUGGGCCUCGAAGGCACCAACGUGAAUCCCCACCCUGAUUCUUCCCAGGAGAAGCGAAGCGUGGAAAAUUAUAUUCAGCUGCAGGAGUUUUCAGCCUCACAUUCGGAAAGAGCAGAAGUUGCUAGAGGCUAUUUUCAGAGAACUCCUAAUAAGUACAGAACCCAAAUACAGACAUGGUUGUUAACACCCUGGGAAAUGCCAAAUCCGAGCUGGAUCGCAGCCAGCAGAGAAAUGGAAAGUCCUAGAUAGCUUAUCUCAGAGCCAAUCUGUAUUACGUGGGAGGCGCAAGAGGCAAUUGCACGGGAGGACACGAGCUCUCCUUCUAGGCUCUGCAUCAGCGCCUUGGACCGACAACAUCAAGGUGCAUCGGGCAUUUUCUGAAUCUGCGAGUAGGUCCCUUGUCUUGCCCUGUGUUCUAUCCUGUGCUUCCAGCCUUCUUCUCCUUCAACCCACCCAUUCUUCCUGACCCGUUUCAUUCAUUCCUGGGGCUUCAGGAACCUUCUCUCCCUCAACAAAUGACUCCUUGUGAUAGAUCUCCAGGCUUGAGUUUUUAAACAAGUUUAUUCUAUUUA